rnacentral:rRNA from 1 species
GAUGAACGCUGGCGGCGUGCUUAACACAUGCAAGUCGAACGGUGAAGGCGGAGCUUGCUCUGCUGGAUCAGUGGCGAACGGGUGAGUAACACGUGAGCAAUCUGCCCCUGACUCUGGGAUAAGCGCUGGAAACGGCGUCUAAUACUGGAUACGAGCUGCGAAGGCAUCUUCAGCAGCUGGAAAGAAUUUCGGUCAGGGAUGAGCUCGCGGCCUAUCAGCUUGUUGGUGAGGUAAUGGCUCACCAAGGCGUCGACGGGUAGCCGGCCUGAGAGGGUGACCGGCCACCCUGGGACUGAGACACGGCCCAGACUCCUACGGGAGGCAGAAGUGGGGAAUAUUGCCCAAUGGGCGAAAGCCUGAUGCAGCAACGCCGCGUGAGGGACGACGGCCUUCGGGUUGUAAACCUCUUUUAGAAGGGAAGAAGCGAAAGUGACGGUACCUGCAGAAAAAGCGCCGGCUAACUACGUG